CCUUUCCCAGGCCGUGACAUGAUUAAUCGUUUUCUUCUGAUCUAAUUUUGGAACAUGAAAAACAGCACAUUUGUCUUGAAGAAAAAUGAUGUGCCGAACUGCGCAGAUGGAAAUUUCGAGCAAUGAGAAAGAUUAAAGUGAAACCCCACUCCUUAGACCUAAUCAUGAGUUGUAGAUUAUUCUGUCGGCCCAGCCAGAUGGUAGCUCUGAUUCCACAGACCCUUCUUAUAUUAAUGAAUACUAGACUGUUAUAUUUGACUUAGGAACCUGGAAGGGCCCCAGCAUCAGAAUGCCUGAGGACAGCAUGGCACUUCCAGCUCAUUGGCUUCAGACAGACAUGCCUCUGGGCUGGAGGCUCACCACCCCUCUGGGCCUAGUACUGGGUGGCUCAGGCGUUCCCUUUUCCUCCAGUCUUCUCCUCUGCGCAGUGGGGAGACUUGGAAGAGCUCGUUGCUGCACUCUGGGGAGGAGCCAGAAGAGGACCCUGACUUCCUUAUGAAGGACCCCAUGUGGCCUCUGUGAUGGUUUGAAUGUGAAAUAGCGCCCCCCCCAUAAAGAAAUGUGUUGAAUACUUGGUCCCCAGUUGUUCCUCAGUCUCUGCUUCCUGCCCACCACGAGGAUGAAGUGAGUAGCUUCCUUCUCCACAUGCUGCCAGUGUCCUGAUGUUGUUCCUUGUCAGUGGAUUGUCACAGAGCCAAGUGACCAUGAAUGGAGCCCUCUGAGACCGCGAGCUAAAACAAAUCUUGCUGUCAGAUGUUUCAUCACAGUGCCAAAAAAACGAAACUAAUACAGCUCUUUGUGGUGGUUUCGUUGCAAUCUCUAGAAAUGUAAAAAUGUUGUAUUGAAAGAGUUUGUGUGUAUAAGCCUGUCUUGUAUACCUCCCUUCUUCUUUUACAUUCCUCUGUUCAUUCAGGUUCCUCACUCAAGAAAUACGUAUUGAAGCUGAGGAAGCAGUUAAGUUGGUAGAACACUUGCUUAGCAUAAGGCCAUGGGUUUGACUCCCAGCACCUUAUGUCCAGAGCAUAGGGGACCCAAAAGCAACCCUGUAGUUGAGUCUCUUGGCUUCUAUAACCUGUAAUUAGGUCAUUCAUGGUCUCUUCCACUCCUUAAGGCCAUUUAAAAACCUUCUCAUGAGCCAGGCAUGGUGGUGCAUGCCUCUAAUCCCAGGACUCAGGAGGUAGAGGCAGGAGGAUUGCUAUGAGUUCAAGGUCAGCCCGAGACUACAAGAGUGA